AAUAACAGGUAAGGUAAAAGCUCCUAAUACGGCGGUAGUCAAAAUCGCUUCCAAUUACGGUGGUAUUUAUAUUUCUUAGUUUUAUUCCUGUUCUAUUCAGUGUAAGUACAUCAUAACGCAAAUGUGUUAUUCUAAAUUUAUUACGGCACGACUUAACCGACAUUUGCAACUACAACACAUUGGCAACACAACAAAAUCAAUCAGUUUAUGUCACGGCAUCGACGGGACAGGUGUUUUCAUACAAACGCGGAACAACAAAACUCAAUUCAGGCAGCAGUGGCAGCGGGCAGCAUUGACGCAAGUUUUAAAAGAGUUUUAAACUUUAUUUUCAUUAUUUUAUAGACCAGUAAUCGCUCGAAAAAAUAAAACUGUUGGUGACUGAUGCGGCGUCGGUUGCUGACGACAGCCAGCAGUUUUGAAGCGAAGCUAGUCUAGUAGCGAACGUUUAAAAUUCUUCCGAAGCUGUAAAUGCUCUUCGGGCUGCUGUCGACCACUGUAACUGCAGCCUGAAUUGACCCUAAACUUUACUUAGGUAUCUUAUAUUAAGUUCACUUACCAUUACUAAAGUGAUUAUUUUUUAAUAUGUAAAACUUUUAGUUACAGUUUACUAUCCUCUGCGGAGUGUUAGUUUUUGAAAGACUGAUGUUAUAAAUAUUUCAUUAUUGUUACUUUUUGUUCCUCUACGAAGUGUUGAUUUUUGAAAGAUUUUAGAUGAUUGUUAUUGUUCGUCAUUAUUUCUUAGCCAAAGUAACUAAUUGUAAUAAAAAAUAAAACUUAAUUCCUAAAUGAACCUGCAUUUUUUUAUAUUGUUAAAUCCGUGAAAGCUGUACACACGCGUGUAGAAAACACUAAAUAAUAAUAUAUACAUAUAUAUACUUUAAAUAAAUAAUAUACUUUAAAUUCAAA